AGCGAACGCUGGCGGCAGGCCUAACACAUGCAAGUCGAACGGACCGAUCGGGGGUAGUGGCGGACGGGGGUGGAACACGUGGGAACGUGCCUUUAGGUUCGGAAUAGCUCCUGGAAACGGGUGGUAAUGCCGAAUGUGCCCUUCGGGGGAAAGAUUUAUCGCCUUUCGAGCGGCCCGCGUCUGAUUAGCUUGUUGGUUGAGGUAACGGCUCACCAAGGCGACGAUCAGUAGCUGGUCUGGGAGGAUGGCCCGCCACAUAUGGACUGAGACACGGCCCAAACUCCUACGGGAGGCAGCAGUGGGGAAUCUUGCGCAAUGGGCGAAGGCCUGACGCAGCCAUGCCGCGUGAAUGAUGUAGGUCUUAGGAUUGUAAAAUUCUUUCACCGGGGACGAUAAUGACGGUACCCGGAGAAAAAGCCCCGGCUAACUUCGUG
rnacentral:rRNA from 1 species